rnacentral:lncRNA from 1 species
GUCAAUUUAUCUAUAAGAUCUAUAAUAUAUAGACUAUAUAUAUAACAUAAUAUAUACAACAUAGCAAAUAUAUGAAAACUUAACAAUGUAUAAUUUGGAAUUCACAUGCUACGUAGAGAGGUAUACAACUAAAUUCUGAUUUUCAUAAGGUUUUUUUUUUAUUACUAUUGACACAGUUUCAAGCAUCCUAUCAUGUUGUUUCUACUACUUUUUUCUUCUCUUUCAUUUUUUUGAAACAAAUUUUUUUAACCAGACCAGGCCCCACUGUAAUAUCACCUAAGAGAGUCAGGACAGUUUUUGCAUUUAUAAAGAUAUGUUCCUGUAAGGGCAAUUGUAAUGGAGUUCAGUGGUAAUGGAAGCAAAAGUACAGUAAUCAAGUGUGGAAAGGAACUUUUGGAGAGACUGAAAUGUAUUAUAGCUUCUGGAAAAACUGAAGGCUACAGAUUAGAUGCAACAUUCUUGUGUUCUUGGAGGAACUCACAUACACAUAGCUGACCUGAGUAGUACUUCAGAUCUCAGACUGCUCUUCCACAGCCUUCUGUAAGGUUCUUUAUUCUG